GCCCGGGUGGUGAAAUUGGUAGACACACAAGACUUAAAAUCUUGCGGCUUUGCGGCCGUGCCGGUUCGAUUCCGGCCCCGGGCACCA
rnacentral:tRNA from 1 species